CUGCGAUAUCAUUUAUAAAUUCCACAAUUCAUUUGUUCCAACAAAAUCUAACUUUCCUUAUUCCAACAUGCCAAUAACCUCUUGCUUAACAACAUAUACAAGAUUACACAAAGUUCCUAACUAGGUUAUUCGUCCAGCAAAUAUACCUUGUUUCCCUCACAUUCCUCACUGAGUUUACAAGCAUUUCACCCAUUCACCCCACCCCCCUGUAGCCAAUACUCAUAGCAGUCAGAGCAAGAGAAAGCAACAAAGAAGGAGGGGGGAGGAGGGAGGAAGACUUGCAAGCACAAAGUUUUUUUAACCAUGUGAUUGCCUAAGCACAGCUCUCCUUAGGACAAAAGAUAGAAUAGGAGAGUAACGAUACAAAUUGUAUAGAUUACAAUUAACAUAUAUGGUACCCAACAAGACAUACACAGACAAAAGCACAAAAUACAGAUGUAAUUAAAUCACAAAGUUCUUAAAAUAAAUGCCGGCUUAUAAUAAAUCAAAUCACACACACAGAAACACUCAAGCACAUAAACCGCUCCUUUACCAAAGCUUAGCUAUUUAAAC